UCCCACUUGAAAGCUUUUGCUAGCUGCCCAUAAAAAAAUUUCUUUCAAACUUCUGACACUGGCCAAGAAGAUCUGCAUCUCUACUUUGAUCUCAUCUCCCUCAUUUCUUACCUUUCCCUCUAAACUGGCCUUCUUCCUGUCCCCGUGGCCCAUUCCUGCUCCGGGCUCUUCUCCAAGCGCAGGGCAAGAGUAAAUGGAAGGAUAAACUACUAUCUUGCGGGAAAACAGUGGUUCAACUUGGCGAGUGUCUAGAGGAUGAAUACUAUUUCUGCUCAUUGUUGGGGGUAAGGAUAUUGCAUGUACUAGGAUUAUGGGAUGCGAAUGUCUACUAAUAAUUUAGAAUUUUGAACCAUCAGAGAAGGAACAAAAUGACCAAGAAGCCCAAGAACCACGAGGCUAAAACCUUCUGCUCCUCUGAUCAGCUAACUGCAGGCAAUUAGGAGAACUAAGAGGCAUCUCACAAUGAAAGAGUCAAAAAAGUUUUGUUUUUUUUUUU